rnacentral:rRNA from 1 species
GGCAGACGAGGUAGUAAUAAAUAGGUACUUACCCUUUAGUCAGGAAUACCUCAUCGAAAGAUGAGUUAAUACUUGAUAGUCUCGCAAGAGUAAAGAUUUAUCGCUAAAGGAAAGGCCUGUUCAGUAUCAGCUAGUUGGUAGGGUAAUGGCCUACCAAGGCUUAGACGCUUAGGGGACCUGAGAGGGUGACCCCCACCGAUGGAACUGAGAAACGGUCCAUACACCUACGGGUGGCCGCAGUCGAGAAUCUUCCGCAAUGGGCGAAAGCCUGACGGAGCGACGCCGCGUGAUUGAUGAAGUCCUUCGGGACGUAAAGAUCUUUUGCCAGGGAGAAAGUUUAUUGAUAGUACUUGGCGAAUAAGAGGUUGCUAAACUCGUGCCAGCAGCAGCGGUAAUACGAGUGCCUCAAGCGUUAUCCGGAAUCAUUGGGCGUAAAGGUUGUGUAGGUGGUUGUAUUAGUCUUCUGUUAAAUUCUUCGGCUUAACCGGGGGCAUGCAGGGGAAACGGUACAACUAGAGGAUGCGAGGGGUCU